rnacentral:rRNA from 1 species
UGGGGAAUCUUGCACAAUGGGGGAAACCCUGAUGCAGCGACGCCGCGUGAGCGAUGAAGGUUUUCGAAUCGUAAAGCUCUGUCCUAUGGGAAGAUAAUGACGGUACCAUGGGAGGAAGCCCCGGCUAACUACGUGCCAGCAGCCGCGGUAAUACGUAGGGGGCGAGCGUUGUCCGGAAUUACUGGGCGUAAAGGGUUCGCAGGCGGCAUGGCAAGUCCGAUGUAAAAGGCGAAGGCUCAACCUUCGUAAGCAUCGGAAACUGUCAAGCUUGAGUGAAGGAGAGGCAAGUGGAAUUCCUAGUGUAGCGGUGGAAUGCGUAUAUAUUAGGAGGAAUACCGGUGUCGAAGGCGACUUGCUGGACUUCAACUGACGCUGAGAAACGAAAGCGUGGGUAGCAAACAGG